CCUACGGGAGGCAGCAGUGGGGAAUUUUGGACAAUGGGCGCAAGCCUGAUCCAGCAAUGCCGCGUGAGUGAAGAAGGCCUUCGGGUUGUAAAGCUCUUUUGUCAGGGAAGAAACGGUCUACUCUAAUACAGUGGGCUAAUGACGGUACCUGAAGAAUAAGCACCGGCUAACUACGUGCCAGCAGCCGCGGUAAUACGUAGGGUGCAAGCGUUAAUCGGAAUUACUGGGCGUAAAGCGUGCGCAGGCGGUUAUAUAAGUCAGAUGUGAAAUCCCCGGGCUCAACCUGGGAACUGCAUUUGAGACUGUAUGGCUAGAGUGUGUCAGAGGGGGGUAGAAUUCCACGUGUAGCAGUGAAAUGCGUAGAUAUGUGGAGGAAUACCGAUGGCGAAGGCAGCCCCCCGGGAUAACACUGACGCUCAUGCACGAAAGCGUGGGGAGCAAACAGGAUUAGAUACCCUGGUAGUCCAGCCCUAAAACGAUGUCUACUAGUUGUCGGGACUUAAUUGUCUUGGUAACGCAGCUAACGCGUGAAGUAGACCGCCUGGGGAAUCGGUCGCAAGAUUAAACNAAAGAUGACGNNGAGAGNGCGAGACGACGACGAGGAGGAGG
rnacentral:rRNA from 1 species